AUCUUCACCGUGACACCCCGUCCGGUAUCAAAUCCGGCCUCUUUCAGCCAGUCGCCCUUAAGGUGCAGGCUGGGAUGUUGUGAAUAAUACCGGGCUAUACCGGUUUUGCGGUCCUGGUGGCGGGCUCUG
rnacentral:sRNA from 1 species